CAGGUUGCCUUGAUUUCCAAAUGGAAGAAACCAACUCUAAUUUCAUAAGAGUGAGACAAUGUGGAAAGUUUCAACAAGUGAAGCUUUCAAGCAAGAGGAGUUGACUGGAAAUGAACAGAGGCGUCAUGUCCUGGAGAAUGGAAACUUGAAUCAGGAAACUUAAAUACUAGGAACUACUGUCCCAUUUAUCCUCUAUGGAGCAUUCUGUGGAAAUGUUCCUCUCCUUACUCCCCUGCCCCCCCACCAUGUUUCUCUACAGUUUCUCUUCCUUUCCAGUUGUCUUUGAACUCCAUAUGUAGUGUACCGUGUGUAUCUGGGUCAUUUCUUGAUGGGGAAACAGUCUUUUUUUCAGUCCCAUUUCUGGGAGAAUUGAAUAUCUUAUAUUUCCGCAAGGGUUUGACCACAAUGAGGGUCAGUGUCAGAACUGUGGUUUCAGAUGCUACGACGGCAGGUUGGAAUUUAAUUGUCUCCGGGAGAUAGAUCGAGAAGAGGGAAAAAAGAAUGCAUUGGCUAUGUAAUAAGGCUUUGCAAAAAGAUGGUGGUUAACCUUUCUGCAGGGUGAAACAAAGGAAACCAAGCUACAAAUCAAUCCAACAGCAAGGCCUGUUCAGAAAUUGGCCAAAUUCUACCGAAAAAAAAAAUGAUAGUGGGAUGAGGAUGGGGAUUUGGAAGCUAUAAUUAAUGUAUGUGGUGCAGAUGUUAAAGGAAACUAACCAGACCCAAAAGAACAAUAGAUCUCUGUGGAAUGCAAAAAUAACUUUCUCUUUGCCUAGUUACAUUUUGCAAAAGGAGUUUUUUUUUCUCCACAGAAAGAAUUUCAAAUUUCCCUGCGUUUUAGAAGAUUUCUUUUCUUUGGAGCCUGGUAUAAUAUAAUUAGCCGCGAAGAAUCUGUGUGUUGAGUUAUUGUAAUGUACACAGAGAUUCCAUUAGGUGCACACCACGGUGUGGUAGGAAUAAGGCGGGAAUAAUUAAACACCAGAUGGUGAUGUAAACUCCAAUAGAGAGAGUGGAUGCAUUAUGCAUGAGUAGACCUUUAUUGUUGUUUUUAUCCAUUUCCUGCCAUUACGCUUUUCUUAGACUUCAAUCCAUGUUUCACAGAAAAGAUCUUGCUGGAUUGGGGUUUCUCUGGCUUGAAAGAACCAAUCCAUUCACUCUGUCAUACUCUUGUCAGUUAUUUUUCUGUGCUCAAUUUGCCAAACUAGGGAGAGCACGUUUUAUUCUUGUAGCCCUUGACUCCUAAGAUUUGCCAUCCCCUAGAGCUUCUGAGCUCACUGGAUAUCAUUUUAUGUUUCUGCCAGAAGUAUAAAGUUUUAGAUUAGUACCUUUGGAAAUUGAAUCUGAUUUUUAAUGAUUGUAGUGUCACAUUUCCAGUCUGAGAUAGUUUUAAAAAUGUCAUUAAUAGGUAUGAGAUUAAUCAUCUUGGUUUUUGUGACCAUUAAAAAUAUCUUUUUUUCAUUA